GCCCCGGUAGCUCAGUGGUAGAGCAACUGCAUUUGUGUGAUUGAGGCCGAACGAUCACUAUCAACGUUGUCAGAGGUUCAACUCCUGCCCGGUGGCU